rnacentral:siRNA from 1 species
AGGACAUUGUUUCGCUGCUUCCA